rnacentral:rRNA from 1 species
UGCAGCAACGCCGCGUGGAGGAUGACGCAUUUCGGUGUGUAAACUCCUUUUAUAAGGGAAGAUAAUGACGGUACCUUAUGAAUAAGCACCGGCUAACUCCGUGCCAGCAGCCGCGGUAAUACGGAGGGUGCAAGCGUUACUCGGAAUCACUGGGCGUAAAGGAUGCGUAGGCUGGAAAUCAAGUCGAGAGUGAAAUCCAACGGCUCAACCGUUGAACUGCUCUCGAAACUGGUUACCUAGAAUAUGGGAGAGGUAGAUGGAAUUGGUGGUGUAGGGGUAAAAUCCGUAGAUAUCACCAGGAAUACCGAUUGCGAAGGCGAUCUACUGGAACAUUAUUGACGCUGAGGCAUGAAAGCGUGGGGAGCAAACAGGAUUAGAUACCCUGGUAGUCCACGCCCUAAACGAUGCACACUAGUUGUUGCGAUGCUAGUCAUUGCAGUAAUGCACUUAACAGAUUAAGUGUGCCGCCUGGGGAGUACGGUCGCAAGAUUAAAACUCAAAGGAAUAGACGGGGACCCGCACAAGCGGUGGAGCAUGUGGUUUAAUUCGAAGAUACACGAAGAACCUUACCUGGCCUUGAUAUCCUAAGAAUCCUUUAGAGAUAAGGGAGUGCUAGUUUACUAUAACUUAGAGACAGGUGCUGCACGGCUGUCGUCAGCUCGUGUCGUGAGAUGUUGGGUUAAGUCCCGCAACGAGCGCAACCCUCGUGAUUAGUUGCUAACAGUUCGGCUGAGCACUCUAAUCAGACUGCCUUCGCAAGGAGGAGGAAGGUGAGGACGACGUCAAGUCAUCAUGGCCCUUAUGGCCAGGGCUACACACGUGCUACAAUGGCUAGGACAAAGAGACGCGAUACUGCGAAGUGGAGCAAAUCUUAAAACCUAGUCUCAGUUCGGAUUGGAGUCUGC